GACGAACGCUGGCGGUGUGCUUAACACAUGCAAGUCGAACGGUAAGGCCCUUUCGGGGGUCCACGAGUGGCGAACGGGUGAGUAACACGUGAGUAACCUGCCCUCAUCUCUGGGAUAACAGUCGGAAACGGUUGCUAAUACUGGAUAUGAGCUUGCAAGGCAUCUUGUGGGUUGGAAAGAUUUUUUUGGUUGGGGAUGGACUCGCGGCCUAUCAGCUUGUUGGUGAGGUAGUGGCUCACCAAGGCUUCGACGGGUAGCCGGCCUGAGAGGGCGACCGGCCACAUUGGGACUGAGAUACGGCCCAAACGCCGACGGGAGGCAGCAGUGGGGAAGAUUGCACAAUGGACGGAAGUCUGAUGCAGCAACGCCGCGUGCGGGAUGACGGCCUUCGGGUUGUAAACCGCUUUCAAUUGUGACGAAGCUUUUUGUGACGGUAGCAGUAGAAGAAGCACCGGCUAACUACGUG
rnacentral:rRNA from 1 species